ensembl:snoRNA
CUGCACAAUGAACACCCAAGACUGCUUCCUCAUUCCCUUGGCUUUGACACUGUGCUAGAGCAAUGUCUGAUCAUUUUCUCUUCAUUGAAAGGAAUAUUUAUCCUUUUAAAUGUAUUCAGAAAGCCAGCACAUUA